rnacentral:rRNA from 1 species
UACGUAGGGUCCAAGCGUUAUCCGGAAUCACUGGGCGUAAAGCGCACGUAGGCGGAUUUAUAAGUCAGGGGUGAAAUCCCGGGGCUCAACCUCGGAACUGCCUUUGAUACUGUAGAUCUCGAGUCCGAUAGAGGUGGGUGGAAUUCCUAGUGUAGAGGUGAAAUUCGUAGAUAUUAGGAAGAACACCGGUUGCGAAGGCGGCCCACUGGAUCGGUACUGACGCUGAGGUGCGAAAGCGUGGGGAGCAAACAGG